AUCAUGCCACACGGCGCCCGGCAUGCCGCGGAACCUUCAGCCCCGCAAUGGUGACCUGUUACCGGCAUGCCUUGCGGCAAGCGCAACUACAAGUCCCGGCAUGCUUCGCGGCUGCAUCCACUCACAGGCACUGGCGACUACUGCUCCCGGCACGCCCCGCGGCGCCCUGGCAUGCGUGCACGUGGGUGGACGGCACGAGGGUCCCCGCGAAGCCCCAGGGCGCGCGUGGCCGCCCCUGGCCCAGGCACCCCCGACCUGCUGGGAGCCACGUGCCAGGCUGCGGCCUAGCACCCACGCUUGAGGCAGGAGCACGCGGAGCGUUCUGGAUGCGUCCUGCAGCCGAGGGCCCGUCUCUCUCCCUGACUCAAGGCCUCUCUGCUGCCUCCCUUGGGUGGAGCCUGCAAGGGGAAGCGCACGUUUGUGUCCUGUAGAGGAGAAUCCAUUUUUAAACCUUGUUCGUGACUGUUUUAAAUAUCCCUGCUUUUGGGUGGCGACCCGCAGGGUGAGAAACACCGAGGUAGAUGGUGAUGAGCAGCAUCGUCGGGUGACCCCCCUCGCUGCUGUGUUGCCAGGCAUUUGGCUCUAAAGUUUGGAUGAGGCGAGAAUGGACGAGGGGUGCGACUGCACCCUGGAGCCACCCCGAUUGCCAUCAAAGGCAUCCCUUCCCGAAGCACACUUGAUCUCCAGCAAUGAGCAUUCCCAUCCCCAGUGGAUCUAGACGCCCUUUUUGAAAGCUGCCUCGUAGACAAAUGUUUUCUGCUGUGCAAAACCAUUUGACACUAAACGACUGCAGCAGAAUGAAAGAAUUCGAAGUCAGAAUCUAGUCUGUGCCCUUCCUUGCAACUUCCAGCUGGGAAACAAUGUCUCCUCUGGCUAAUUAACUGCACAGGUAAAUAAGUGUGGAAGAACUCUGCUGUCUGCCAGAUGAUGACGAUGAUUAAUUAUGUGCAUUACCAUGGGGCUUUGGGGCACCCGCCAUGGCCCAGGGACCCACUGUGCUAGGGCUGCACAAAGAGAGCAGAGGCAGGUCCUGCCCAAGCAGCUUAGUAUAAGAAGGGACAGCAGAUGAUGAAUGCAGACAGAUGGGGGAGCAUGAGGAAACGAUGAGCCAGUGCUGGGCAGCACGAGAAGCCACUGUGGUCUUAAGGCACCAGUAGCAUAAUGCAAGAUUCUUGUCAUCAUCCUGGAGGAGGGCGGUGUAAGGAGGGGUCUGACUGAAGAUAAUGAGGUGGCUUCGCAGACGCGGUGGGGACCUCCCAAGCAUGAGCAGCUGCAUGGAGAUGUCAUGUAGAAAGCACUGGCAAACUUGAAACUUGGCCUGGAUGCGAGGGCUUACAAAGAGGUCCAAGUCAAAGAUAACGUCCAGGUUACGGGCUUGGUGACGGGCAGGAGAGUGGUUUUGUCACAGCUAUGGAGAGGAGGCUUUGUAGGAUGAAACUAGAGCUCUGUUGUAGCCAUAGCAAGCUUGGGCUGUUGGCCAGGCAUCCACGUGGAAACGUGAGAACGAUAAGCCAAGCAUUUAGCUUGGUCGACAGGAGACCGUCGAAAGGACGAGGUGUCCACGUGGAUAUGGCGGCUUCACUCGUGUUUGUGUGUGAGCCAAGCCAGGGAUGAAGGGGAGGGGGCAAAGAGAAGGGGCCCUAGUACAGGCCCCUGGGGGAUACUGUAGGAGGCUGGGAGGAGGGCAAGGGAACUCCUCUGAAUGGUAAAUGUAAGAAGCAGUUGAGGGAAGAGAACCAGGAGCAGACAGUUGUGUAAGUCAACAUUUCAAGGACGGCAACGUGGCUGACUGCUGAAGGCAGCUGAAAAGUCAAGGAGGAGGAGGAUAGAGGACUGGUUCAGAGACACGGCUCAAAAGACGGCAUUGAAAGCUUUGCUGGUUGGCUGUAGAGACAGCAAGUGGUGGAUGGGUGCUGCGCCAGAAAAGAAAGGUCAGCAUGGAAGAAGGGCAUAGGCAGGCUCACGGAGAUAGCAGUUUUAUGAAUCUAUAUGUCACUCAGGACGAUAGAGAAUUGCAGUUGCAGGACGCUCCCCCACCCGCACUGCGACAAGGAAGCUCAUGAUUUAUCCACAGUGAAACCAUGGACAAUGUGUGCAGCCACGUGUAACUGCUAUCUAUGGCUUACGAGGGCAGAAGCAGAAACUGCUCCCGAGCCCAGAGUCUAAGUGCUCUGUGCCAGCAGAAAGCAAAGGGUAACUAUUCAGUAUCAGGGCUGUGCAUGCUUUGUGAGGCCCAAGGCCAUACGAUGCAUCAUCAAGGUGAGCGACUGCCCUUGGACAGAUCUAGUGUUGAAUCUCUGCGUUACCUGCAUGAGGGUAGUUUACCCCCCCGGGGGGGGGAUACCAAAGGAUAGUAAAUAUGCACAGUAGGGUCAGGCAUCGCGGUGAUGAGUAGUAUAACUGGUCUAAAGGAACAGUCAGGUUCUGGAGCAGAGGGCGCUGGAGAUGCGUCCGCAGUCCGUGUGAAUGAGACCGGGCCUGGGUUCUCAGGCUAAAUGUCUUUACUUCCACUCCUCCUCCUGUCUUAAUCAGUUCAUCUAUACAGUGCCUUUGUUUUCUAUUUCUUUGAUUGUUUUUUGGGCCUGACUCACUUCCUUAUUCAGAACCAUUAAAACCAGACAAGUUAAACUAGUCUCUAUGCCAGCUCUCAAGGCAGAGCUGCCACUGCUGUCUGAGCCAGACAAGACAGCAGUACCAUUUGAUUUGGGAGGCACCAAUAGAGCUAUUUCCUUACCUGCAGUAGCAAAAGAUGGUCUUCUUUCUGACCAGAAAGUAACCUAGAAGAUCCGUUGCAAAGAUGGGUGGGAUUGUCAAGGGGCUAAACACCCAGCUGCAACUGCAUUUAAAUAGGUCUUCGUGCCCAGCACCUUUGGAUUGCUUUGGAAAUCCCAGCAGUUUCGCAGUUCUGGCGUUACUCUGCUCACCCUCCCUGCAUUACAUGCAACAUCAGCUAGCUUCACAACUAGCCGUAGCACUUCUUGUGAGUUGUGGGCUUCAGUGGUGAGGCUAUGGGUAUGAGCCGCAUGGCCUGCUGCUCACCUUGUUAUAUGGUUGAUUAUAUUUAAUAUAAUGACUAGUUACAAAAAAAAAUCCCUUUUGCAACAGUUUGCGUGAAUAGAAGUGAUGGACUGGAACCUCAGGCUCCGACUCCUCUCAUUUCUGCAUUGAGCUUUGAAACCAUCGUCUUCGGCAUCACUUCAGCAUGCUGGACAGAAGCAGCAUCAAAAACGCCCCCGUCACAAGGCUGCUGUGUACUCCAGCAAAGCAUGCACAGACCUUCAGUGGAAAAAACCCAAGUGGCCAAACAUGUCAUUCUGCGGUUUUCCACGUGACCACGGUUUGCUUUGUUUUUCUCCUUCGCUGGCGUUAUGGCACCUAGGCACUUUGGAGAUUUGUGAGACGACAACAAUCGUACUGCGCGUAUGCAAAAGGGCUGGAAACGAACCAGCGAUAACGUGUUCCUGCUGGGCCUCGAAGCGAGCGAACACCCGGAGACCCCAAAGCAGCACUCCUGUUGUUCGGCUAAAGGAGGCUGCCCCGAAACUAGACCCACCGUGUCAUCCGCAAUCUACUGAAAUAGCGCAGCCGCUCUGGACUCCUCAGCUGCGUUUUGAUUUGUUACAGGCUAUAAACCCGAACACGUCAGCACUUUG